AUUGAACGCUGGCGGCAGGCCUAACACAUGCAAGUCGAACGAGUGGCGGACGGGUGAGUAAUGUCUGGGCAACUGCCUGCUGGAGGGGGAUAACUAAUGGACACGGUAACUAAUACCGCAUACCAUCAGAUGUGCCCAGAUGGGAUGAGCUAGUGGGUAGGGUAAUGGCUCACCUAGGCGACGCUCCCUACCUGGUCUGUGAGGAUGCCCAGCAACACUGGAACUGAGACAGGGUCCAGACUCCUAAGGGAGGCAGCGUUGGGGAAUAUUGGACAAUGGGCGAAAGCCUGCUGAAGCCAUGCCGCGUGUGUGAAGAAGGCCUUAGGUUUGUAAAGCACUUUCAGUGAGGAGGCGUUACUCACAGAAGAAGCACCGGCUAACUCCGUGCCAGCAGCCGCGGUAAUUC
rnacentral:rRNA from 1 species